CCUUUGGUGAUGCAAACGAGUAACUGCCCUAUCAACUUUCAACCGUAGUGUAGGGGACUACGGUGGUUGUAACGGGUACGGGGAAUUAGGGUUCGAUUCCGGAGAGGCAGCCUGAGAAACGGCUACCACUUCCAAGGAAGGCAGCAGGCGCGUAAAUUAUCCAAUCCCAAUUCGGGGAGAUAGUGACAAGAAAUACUGGUGUAGGGCCUUUUGGGUUCUACUAUCGGAAUGAGUACAAUUUAAAACCAUUAGCGAGGUACAAUUGGAGGGCAAGUCUGGUGCCAGCAGCCGCGGUAAUUCCAGCUCCAAGAGUGUAUAUUAAAGUUGUUGCGGUUAAAAAGCUCGUAGUUGGACUGCAAGUUGAAGUGUGAAGUCCCCGGGGACGUUGUUCUCGGGAUCAAGGCUUUUGCUCUUCUUCUAGGAAAUUUGACGCAAAAACACGGGGUUCUCCUCGUGGUCAGGUUAGUUUUACUUUGAAUGAAUUAGGGUGUUCAAAGCAGGCGAAUCGCCGUGAAUACAUUAGCAUGGGAUAAUAAAAUAUGACAUUGGUCUAAUACUUAUUGGUUUCUGAGGCCAGAGUAAUGAUUAAAAGGGACAGUUGGGGUCGCUUGUAUUCAGUGGUCAGAGGUGAAAUUCUAGGACCCACUGAGGACAAACAAAUGCGAAGGCAUUCGACAAGGAUGUUUUCAUUAAUCAAGAACGAAAGUUGUGGGAUCGAAGAUGAUCAGAUACCGUCGUAGUCACAACCGUAAACUAUGUUGACUUAGGAUUGGGGGAUGUUAAUAGAUGACUCUCCUAGCACUAUGUGCGAAAGCAUAAGUAUCCAAACUCCGGGGGGAGUAUGGUCGCAAGGCUGAAACUUAAAGGAAUUGACGGAAGGACACCACCAGCAGUGGAACCUGCGGCUUAAUUUGACCCAACACGGGGAAACUCACCCGGUCCGGACAUUGUAAGGAUUGACAGAUUGAUAGCUCUUUCUUGAUUUGAUGGGAGCCGGUGCAUGGCCGUUUUUAGUUGGUGGAGUGAUUUGUCUGGUUAAGUCCGAUAACGAACGAGACCUCAAUUUGCUAAAUAGGAUGCUUCACAGGGUGGUCUUCUGGCUUGUCGGGUUUCGGCUCGGCUUGUUGGGGGGUUGCCGUUUAGUUGUGGGGCAAAUUUUACUUCUUAGAGAGACAGUUAACAAGAAAGAUAGUUAAAGGAGGCUUGAGGCAAAAACAGGUCUGUGAUGCCGCUAGAUGCCCGGGGCUGCACG
rnacentral:rRNA from 1 species